GAAGUGCUGCUGCAGUUGAGCUCAGCUAAACCCUGGUUUGUCUCCUAAAAUACACUGCAGAAAUGCACCAUCUUAAGCAUGCCUGGAACUGUGUGACGUCCCUUGAGUUUAAUUUGUAGUCUGCUCAACAAGUAGCCCUCAAGCUGACCUUAACAACAUCCUGAAUUCAGAAGAAUAUGGUUGCAUCUGAGUCACCAAACCAACUGCUGCAUCUUUAUCCAGACAUUCGUACAGCUCCGGCUUUGCAUUUUGCAGCAAGGCGGUAUUUCCAGGCACUGCUGCCAUCCCAGCUCAGCCUUUUAAUGCCGUUCUGUGCUCAAACUGGAUGUGUUUGCAACCGCUCCCUAACUUUUUCACACCGUAUGCAUCAUAGACAUUAAGACUGAGGGCUUCUUAUUCCUGUCUCCCUAUUUUGUCUCUCCAUCUGCUGGGCAGCAGUGGCUUGGAGAAGAAUAAACUAG
rnacentral:lncRNA from 1 species